UGGUGGAGUGAUUUGUCUGGUUAAUUCCGUUAACGAACGAGACCUCGACCUGCUAAAUAGUUACGCAAAUCUUCGGAUUUGUCGGCAACUUCUUAGAGGGACUUCGCUUGUUUCAGAGCGAGGAGGUGCGAGGCAAUAACA
rnacentral:rRNA from 1 species